ensembl:lncRNA
GGGUGAGAGAGCGCUUUUUUGUUGUUGUUGUUGUUGUGCUAAGCUAAUAGGCAGAGUGCUACAUGUAUAGCCCUAAAGAAUGUAGCAUGAUGGGCAAUGUAGUCCGUGCUGCAGCGAGAAUGGACUACCGUACCCGUUAUGUGUCUGUGAGCGAGGGAGGGAGAAAAAGGAAAAGUCAGAGUUGUCACGGAGCAAAAACGGGAGCUGGAAGCAUGUAAAUAUAAUAAUAACCACUGCAGCCAAGAAGAGUGCCUGACCAGCCCAUUUACCAGUAGUUUCCAAUCAUGUGGAGCAGCGCUGAUUUAACACCACGGGUGUGAUGAUUGGUGUUUAGCAGUCUCGCAGACGCUGUAUGAGGAUACAAACAGACGGAUGGCUGGGAUGAAUCGGGGUGUCCGGAGCUUUUACAUCACCUCAUCAUAAGCUCAUUACGGGCUCCCGCCCUUGGCCCACACACCUGUGAUCCUCCACACCCGAAGCUCGUUGGCUGACGACUUUCCAGUGACUAUUUAAGAUGGCGUCUCAGUGUUUUUCUUUGCUGGACCAUUAUAGUCUGCUAUCUUUCUGAAGCCUUCCCCCGUGUGUUCUGGAUUGUCGCGAGUUUUUCGGAGUGGACAUUGUGUGGAUUGUUCAUUGUGGGACCUGUGUGGAGCGGGCAUGGAGUGUCUUGUCUUCUUCCCCUGCCCGCAGAGGGCAGGAGAAGAAGGGAGCUCAUUAUGGGCCCCUGCCCUUGACCUACCUACACACCUGUGAUUACAGUUCACCUGGUGUUUUUGUGUCUAAUAGACUUUGUACACAGAUUUCCUGAGUCCGCGUGUGAACCCAUUCUGUCAGCCCCACAAGCUGUAUAAUGUUAUAAUAUUUAUUAAAGCAUAUAUG